UUCCUGAAGGAAAAAAAUCACCCACGUCGGUCGCAUGUUUGAGUUUCCAAUGUAUUUUGUCUGGAGUGGGCAACGAGCACUCCUUGCCACUUGGUGAGGAGAGAAGGCAAAUAUGAAUUGCACUCCUUCUGUAUGCUGCCAACGUUCCUGACCUAGCUCAUGGAUUUUAUAUUCUCAAGGGGGAAGAUGAAAUAUGGAAACAAGCACACCAAAAUUAUUAUUUCUGCUAGUGGGACACAUCUCAACUCUUAGGACUCACUCGGGCAUCACCUCCUACAGGAAGCCUUCCUGCCUCCCUCAAAACUGGAUGGAUCAGGCACCCUCAUCUGUGCUCCCUGAGCUGCAACAUCUCACACUGACGUGGCUACAAGUAACAGAAACCACCAACACAACACUGGCUUAAACAGAGAGAGUUCUCUCUCAUAUUAAAAAAAGCCUGGAAAUUGGCUGGCAUCUUCGCCUUCCUAGCAGUGAGAACUUGGAAACCCAGGCUUGUUCAGCAUGAAACAGCAGGUGAACCCAGUCCACCUAUGUCCACAGGCAGACGUCUCCCAUGGAUCACAUGCUCCUGGAUGUCCUAAGUCUCUUGUGGAGAUUCAAUUGCUGCAACUCUGGUCCAGAAGGCCAACACAGACUUCAGGCAAAAGUUGUUGUUACAAUGGUAUUAACUCCCUUCAGGAGAGUGGUAGACUCUUUGAAGGCAGACACCCCCUCAUCGGGGACAGGAGCUACAUUGUUUUUUAGACUUUUCCAGAGACAUUUCCCCUUCGUCCACCUUUUAUUUUCUUUGUGAUCAUGUCGGGAUCUUGGCCUCCUUGUCUAUGACAGGAAUAUUCUUUUGAAUUGGGUAAGCAUAUUCACAGAGGCAGUCAGAUGCACCUCUUUUGGGACCCUGGUGCUUGGCUUUAACUGCUGGCACCAGACCCCCACACUGUCUUGGUGAAGCAGGUUGACUGGUGAAAGUUUAGAGAGUAACAGAGGACUAGGUAUCUUUUUCUGAGUUUUUAGGUUAUCAUUGUAUUUUCCAUUCUCCUGUGGACAGGAAGCUUUGUUAUCCUUCACAGAUCUUUUUUGUUUGGUCCCCUUUGCUGAGGUUCUUGAUAAAACCAAUGAACUUGGGUUGCUCAAAGCCCGAUAUACCUCUCCAGUUUCCACUGACACGGGUUUGAAUCUGAGUCACAUAUUCUUCCCCCGAUUUCUCUGUAGAGUUCCACUCCUUGCCUUUUGCAUUCUCCAUAGUCUGAAAAAGAGUUGAGA